UGUGGAUAGGGGAGAAAUUCCAAUCGAACCCGGAGAUAGCUGGUUCUCCUCGAAAUAGCUUUAGGGCUAGCCUCAUGGAUCAUUGGUGGGGGUAGAGCACUGAAUGUGCGCGGGGGCCACAAAGCCUACCAAACGCUAUCAAACUUCGAAUACCAUACAAUGCAGACCAUGGGAGUCAGUCCGCGAGAGAUAAGUUCCGCGGGCAAAAGGGGAACACCCCAGAUCAACCGCUAAGGUCCCCAAGUUCACGUUAAGUGGAGAAGGAUGUGGAAUUGCACAGACAACCAGGAUGUUGGCUCAGAAGCAGCCACACAUUUAAAGAGUGCGUAAUAGCUCACUGGUCGAGUGAUUGUGCGCCGAAGAUGUCCGGGGCUAAACGUGACACCGAAGCGAUGGGUGCAUCUGAAGAAGAUGCGCGGUAGAGGAGCAAUGUGCAGAGGCAGAAGCCGUAUCGAGAGGCACGGUGGACACUGCACAAGAGAGAAUGCCGGUAUGAGUAGCGAGAGGCAUGCGAGAAACAUGCCCGUCGAAAGCCCAAGGUUUCCUGGGGAAGGUUCAUCCGCCCAGGGUAAGUCGGGGCCUAAGCCGAGGACGGAAGUCGUAGGCGAUGGACAGCAGGUGUAGAUUCCUGCACUACCGAUGGAAUGAAGCAGUGACACAGAAGGAUAACUCGAGCAGGGUGAUGGUCAACCCUGUGCAAGCAUCAAGGUUGGGUUGUAGUGAAGUACGCAAUCCUAUAAGCUGAGGUGUGAUGCGGACCGAAAUUUCAGUAGGGAAGCGAGUGAGUUCACGCUGGCGAGAAAAGCUGCUAGUACAUCCAAAGGUACCCGUACCGGAAACCGACGCAGGUGGGCGAGGAGAGAAUCCUGAGACGAACGGGAGAACCCUUGUUAAGGAACUCGGCAAAAUGACCCCGUAACUUCGGGAUAAGGGGUGCCUGCGAGAGCAGGCCGCAGAGAAUAGUCACAAGCGACUGUUUAGCAAAAACACAGGUAUCUGCGAAAGCGAGAGCUGACGUAUAGGUGCUGACACCUGCCCGGUGCUGGAAGGUUAAGGGAACAUGUUAGAGCAAUCGAAGCAUCGAACCGAAGCCCCAGUAAACGGCGGCCGUAACUAUAACGGUCCUAAGGUAGCGAAAUUCCUUGUCGGGUAAGUUCCGACCCGCACGAAUGGUGUAACGACUUGUGAGCUGUCUCAACAGGGGGCCCGGUGAAAUUGAAGUAUGGGUGAAGAUGCCCAUUACCCGCGACUGGACGGAGAGACCCCGUAGAGCUUUACUGCAGCCUGAUAUUGAGUUUCGGUAACUGAUGCACAGGAUAGGUGGGAGUCUGAGAGACAUGGGUUUCGGCUCGUGUGGAGACGCUGUUGGGAUACCACUCUUCGGUUACUGAAAUUCUAACAUAGCUCUGUGAAACCAGAGGAUGGACAGUGUCAGGUGGACAGUUUGACUGGGGCGGUCGCCUCCGAAAGAGUAACGGAGGCGCCCAAAGGUACCCUCAGAAUGGAUGGAAACCAUUCGAAGAGCGCAAAGGCAGAAGGGUGCCUGACUGCGAGAUUGACAAAUCGAGCAGAGACGAAAGUCGGGCUUAGUGAUCCGGCGGUAUUGAGUGGAAAAGCCGUCGCUUAACGGAUAAAAGCUACCUCGGGGAUAACAGGCUGAUCUCCCCCAAGAGUCCACAUCGACGGGGAGGUUUGGCACCUCGAUGUCGGCUCGUCGCAUCCUGGGGCUGAAGCAGGUCCCAAGGGUUUGGCUGUUCGCCAAUUAAAGCGGCACGCGAGCUGGGUUCAGAACGUCGUGAGACAGUUCGGUCCCUAUCCAUCGUGGGCGUAGGAGUCAUGAGAGGAGCUGUUCCUAGUACGAGAGGACCGGAAUGGACGCACCACUGGUGCAACUGUUGUCGUGCCAACGGCAUAGCAGGGAAGCGAAGUGCGGACGGGAUAAACGCUGAAGGCAUCUAAGCGUGAAGCCCACCUCAAGAAUAAGACUCCACAAUAGACCCCUGGAGGACUACCAGGUAGAUAGGUCAUCGGUGGAAGCGCUGUAAGGCGUGUAGCUUGAUGAUACUAAUCGGUCGAAAGCUUCAUUU
rnacentral:rRNA from 1 species